rnacentral:rRNA from 1 species
ACAAGGAUUCCCCUAGUAACUGCGAGUGAAGCGGGAAGAGCUCAAAUUUAAAAUCUGGCGGUCUCCGGCCGUCCGAGUUGUAAUCUAUAGAAUCCCUACCCGCCCCGGACCGUGCAUAUGUCUCCUGGAACGGAGCGUCACAAAGGGUGAGAAUCCCGUCUGAGGCGCGGACUCCCGGGGCUUUGUGGUGCGCUCUCGAAUAGUCUAGUUGUUUGGGAAUGCAGCUCAUAAUGGGUGGUAAACUCCAUCUACAGCUAAAUAUUGGCGAGAGACCGAUAGCCAACUAGUACCGUGAGGGAAAGAUGAACAGCACUUUGGAAAGAUAGUUAAACAGUACGUGAAAUUGUUGAAAGGGA